UAUUGUGUAAGUUAUAUUUUUAAUAAUAUAAAAUGUUAAUUAUUUUAAAUUUUUUUGGCCUUUGUUUAAUUUUUCUUUUAAUAUUGAUUUGCAGAAAUAUGUUGCUGAUUUGAUUGAGAAACCAGGCAAUGAAAAAAUCUUGUCUGAAUUGUGUGUUUGUCUUAAUUAUGGUGUGAAAGAUGUAAAUGGAGUUCAAUCGUUGAAAGAUUGUAAUAUGAUUUUUGCUCCUGUUCUGAUUGAAGACCCGAAGCAUUAUUACCUGUUUGUCAUUAGUAUGAAAGACAAAAGUGUCUAUUUCUUUGAUAAUAUGCUUCUGGAACCAAAAGAGAUGGAACAAAGGAAGAAAGCUUAUUCUGUCUUGUGUUCUUCAUUGGAAAAACUACUGAAAAAUAUGGAUAACAUUCAUCAUGAAGAUAUUAAAAGCUUCAAAUUUAU